GCGCCCGUAGCUCAGUUGGAUAGAGCGGCGACCUCCUAAGUCGUAGGUCACAGGUUCGAUUCCUGUCGGGCGCACCA
rnacentral:tRNA from 1 species